rnacentral:lncRNA from 1 species
CAGCCUGGGUGACAGAGUGAAACUCUGUCUCAAAAAAAUAAACAAAUAAAUAAAUAAAAUAGUAUGGUGUUGGAGGAUGGGGAUAGGCUUCUUUAUCCUUUUGUUGUUAUUUUUGGGUCUCUUAAUGUUGAUAUAAUAGUUAUGCCCUCACAGUAAGCCUUGAAGCCUUGAAGUCCUCGGCUUAUUGCAAUGCCUAUUCUAGCUGCCAAUAUUCCAGGGAGCUCCUGAUUUCAUAUUCUUGUUAGUCUUCACCUGAUUUCCCCUGUUUCAGGCUCUCCCUGCGUUGUCUUUUCCCUUCUGUUUUUCCUCAGUCGGCACCUGCAGGUUUUUGCUUCUCUGAGGUUCCCAUUCUCACACCAGGUGUUCUCUGCAAAUAUAACCCAUCUACUGCCAGGAGUGACUUCAGCUACCUCCCACCUGUGGCCAGUGGGACUCAUGUGUCUAGCAGAGCUUCUUCUGGGAUAAAACUUAAUGAUGGUCUACUUCACCUGACUUCUGUGUGUUCUCUCCGUGUGAAUUAGUAACCUGAGACAAGAAUUCCAGUACAAGUAGUUUAUCUGGGAAUUCUGGAAGGCAGAGUGGAAGAUACCCCAGAAUUAGUCUACCUGAGGGCACAGGGGAUGGAGCAUUUCUGCAGACUCAG